CAGACUCAACAACAGUUACUACAGCACCAACAACUGUAACAAAUUCAACACCUAUUGCUACAACACAUCCAAACACCACAACACCCACAUCAUCACCAACAUCUGCAGUUACCAACUCAACAACAGUUUCUACAACAGGUGUGA